AGGACCACAAGGAGCAGGGACUGAAAAGCAGGGGAAGCUGCAGCAGCCAUGAUGGAUCGAUCUCUCUCUGAGAGUCGCAAACAAGGGGGCCAACUCUCCACGCAGGCUUUUGCUCCUGAAGGCCUGUCACCUGUCAUGCUAAAUUGGCUGGUACGAUCUAACAGUCUUCUCAAUCCUGGGGCCUAGGAUCUCCAUGGCAGUGGAAGGAGGGAAAGGACACUGGAGUACAGAGAAGACCAUUAAUAUCAAGGAGUGAUAUCUUGACUCAUGGGUGAAUUGAAUUCAAGUGAGAGGGAGUCAACAACCUCAUUCUUCCAGAACCAUUGAAGUCUAGUAGCAAGACAAAAGUCAAGAUGAUUGGCAAUGGCCUGGGAUGCAGUGGAUGACCUCAGUGUCUUCUAUGUCUGGACAACCUCUAAGAGUUACACAGUGCCCCACUUGGAGGAAACAUCUUCUGGCCAAAGCACUGACAAGGUUUGAGUAUGCCAAAAAUGGAAUCAGUAUGUAAAUUCAAAGAAGCCUGUUAAUUCUGAGGAGAGUAAAUAUGCUACCUUGUGGUUGCUGACUGUGGGACUAUCUGUUUUGAAGGAGGAGAGAGAGGAGCCAGAGAAAUUCUAUCCUUGGGACCUCUUCUUCACAUUGCCUACUCCCUAUAUCCCCCAUCUGACUACCGCUCCUAAGGCUUCUGCUCCAGGACUCCCAGAAUUCUCUCCUUGAUUCCAUCCCAGGGAGGAGUCAAAGAAGGGAACUUAAAACCAUUAACUAUUUCCUCUCCUCCUGGCCCUCUUCAGUGGGAACUUAAGCAACAAGAAAACCUUCCACUCCCCACAAAGACUAGCUUGUUCCUAGUUAAAGAGGUCCCAUUCUUCCAGAAAGGAAUUGCCUUUGUAAAUGCUCCCUUGUACAGCAUGGAGAUGAAAAACUUAAAAAAAAGAGAUGAAAGUCCUUAUAGAAGAUCCAUCUGGAUUAGCAGAACAGUUUGACCAAUUUCUGGGUCCUAACAUCUACACCUGGCUGGAAUUGAUGUCAAUUUUAGGGAUCCUCUUCACUGGAGAAGAGCAGGGGCAGAUUAGGAGAGAUGCAAUGAGGACCUGGGAUAAUGCCUAUCCGGUUGCAUAAGGAGGACCCAGGGGAGGAUAAAAAUUCCUCCUUCAAGAUCCCAAUUGGGAAAUUAUAACAAUCCAGUUCACAAAGAAAGUAUGAGGGAUCUAAGACAGAUGAUUAUUCAAGGUAUUGGAAAUUAAAGUCAAAAUAUGAAUAAUAGAAAUUAAGCAAGAAAAAGAAGAGACCCCCCUCAACCUUUUUAAAUAGACUCAAGGAAUGUAUUAGGGAAGUAUUUAGGGUUAGGAGAAAAUGAUGCUAUGGGGAAAAAUCUACUUUGGGCAUAUUUCGUCACCAAAAAGCUCCAGAAGCAAGAGGGGUGGCUGACCAAGCUCUUAGAUGAAUUAUUAGAAAUGGUCCUGAAGAUAUAUGUAGCCAGAGAGACUGAGAAGAAAGAAAAAGUAUACUACAGUCCCUCAAACAACAGAAAGAGCAGAUUAAAGUAAUGCUUCAGAUACUGCAAACAGUUGCUAAGUCUGUAAUGAAAAAUCAAGGGAAACCUGGUAGAGGCAGAGGAAGGAGAGCAUUUUGCCCUGAAGCCCAGCCAGCAGGAGAUUCAGAAAGAGAAAAGGGAGUGGGCUGCCUAGUACUGACUCCAUUAAUUUGUUUCAAUUGUGGACUACAAGGGCAUAUGAAGAAGCAUUGCCCACAGAGGAAGAGGAGAGGGAAACUGGGAUCUCAUAUUCCACAGUGUAGACAAAUUCCUCAGGAAUUGUGUGUUCUCUGGUAAAAUAUUUGACUAUAUUUCAGAAUAAAGGGCUGAUUGCUCAGACUCCACCACUAGGAUUUCUUGUACACAAAUUUCAGCCUGGGACUGGGUGCUGAUCCAGACCUGGAAAGAGGAAAAAUUCACUCCCUCUUGGGAGGGACCUUUCUAAGUCUUGCUGGUGCUAGAUAUCAUUGUGAGUACCAAGGACUUAUCACACUUGGACUAAGGGACCAGUUACUAUUCCCAUGGAGUGGACUAUGGAUUCAAACCAUCCCAGAGACUUCCCACUGGAUGAAUAUAUGAAUCUUGAGAAUAUGUGUUUGGUUGUGAUCUGUUUGUUUCUUUUAGCAUUUCUGUUUAUGAUAGACAUUUGUACUCUAAUGACUGGGGACACCAGUGGUUGGGGUGAUAGAUGGACCCUAGAUGGGAGUUGGGAGUAACAAACCCCAAUUUGUAUGCUGAACAAACUCAAUAGACUCUAGACCAUGGUCUGUCAGACCACAAAAGGCACUGGAUUCAUUAGCAGACCAAACCAUCCACAGUACUUCAUGGUAAUUUUGGUCUGGAAGCAGCUGGUUCUUCCUGAUAGCUUUCAAGGGUUAGGAUAAUAGAGAUUGGAGACUAACAACAAGCCAGUUGAGGAAAUAUAUCAAGAAUGGUGUGAGAAGUCUUCAAAGGAGAAAUAAAAACUGAAGGGAUUGUGAGGAAUUAACCAAGUGGAGAUGCUCUCAUGGGAAUAUAGUCUUAAACUAUACUUUGUGACUUGAGACUUUAUAAUAACAAAUAGAAUGAUAGCUAAAAGUUGCAGGUGAUUGUCCUCUCCCAUUUCCCACUGCUCCUUAAUUAGCAUGUAAGUACUUCUUAUUAUCUGCUUGCAUAUCAGUUCUUUAAGGAAAUUUAAAUUGACAGGGGUCCUGCCAGGCAGCUAUGGCAAGGAAAGAGAGGUUCCCUGAUAAGGUAUAGUCCUGCUUUGGGCCUCUGCAAAUUAUGAGUUUAAAAUUGCCCGUUUUAAUAAUAAAUCAAUUGAAUAAAAUUCCUUCAAUAUUGUCAUUGCCCCCAGGCCUAGAUUUACAGUUGAAUAAGAUCACUUAAGUUCAAGCUAAGUAGGAGUGAUCUUGGACUGAUUUUCAGCUCAAUAGAGAGUGCAGCUAGCUAGUCAAUAGAGGGUGCAGCUAGUCCCACCAAGAUAACAGAAUGAAGCCACUUUAUCUUGAUUCCCUGAGGUGGGCCUCAGGAGAAGUUUCAAGGAGAGUUUCAAGAGUUCACCUAUAGCUUCCCCCCCCCAAAGUCAGAGGACAGUUUCAAGGUUCCCCCCAUCACCUAUAAUUCUUUAUAUUUGUCAUUUCUAAUGUCAUGGUAAUAUUCCAUCACUUUUUUUUUGAUGCUUCAGACAUUCUGCAGUCAGACAUGUAAUAUGUUUCUAGUUACUAUCAAUAAUGCUGCUGCAAAUAUAUAUAUAUAUAUAUAUAUAUAUAUAUAUGAAUCUUUUAUUGCAGUUAUUAACCUAUUUGGAGAUAUAAACUGAAUAGUAGGCUCUCUGAGUGAAAAGGAUAUGAAGAAUGUAGUGCACACACAUGUAUAUAUUAAAUUUAAAUUACAUUUUACUUUUAAUUCAAUAUUUUCUCCCUCCAAUGUCACCCUUUCUUCAACUCCACCCCCACCAUUGAGAAAGUAAGAAAAACAAUACCCUGCUACAAACAUGUAUAGUCGGAUGAAAUAAAUUUUUGCUUUGGCCAUGUUUGGAAAAAAAAAGUCUCAAUUUCUAUCUCUAUUAGGAGAUGGCUAACAUGGUUCAUCUUGAGGCCUUUAGAAUUACAGUUGAUCAUUAUGUGGAUCAAAAUUUCUAAGUGUUUCAAAGAUAUUUGUCUUUAUAGUAUUACUUUUAUUGUUGAAAUUGUUCUAGUUCUACUCACUUCACUAUAAAUCAGUUGUUUUCCUGGGUUUCUCUGAAACCAUCCUUUUCAUCUUUUUUUAUAGCACUAUAAAGAGUGUUAUAUCACAUUCACAUAUCAUAGCUUGUUCGACCAUUUCCUAAUUGUUUGGCA